rnacentral:rRNA from 1 species
GAAAUUCGCCUGCAUGAAGCCGGAAUUGCUAGUAAUGGCAGGUCAGCAUACUGCCGUGAAUACGUUCCCGGGCCUUGUACACACCGCCCGUCACACCAUGAGAGUUGGGGAUACCCAAAGCCCGUGAGCCAACUUUAAAAGAGGCAGCGGUCUAAGGUAGAAUCAAUGAUUGGGGUGAAGUCGUAACAAGGUAAC